UGGGGAAUAUUGCACAAUGGGGGAAACCCUGAUGCAGCGACGCCGCGUGAGCGAUGAAGUAUUUCGGUAUGUAAAGCUCUAUCAGCAGGGAAGAUAAUGACGGUACCUGACUAAGAAGCUCCGGCUAAAUACGUGCCAGCAGCCGCGGUAAUACGUAUGGAGCAAGCGUUAUCCGGAUUUACUGGGUGUAAAGGGAGCGUAGGCGGUCCUGCAAGUCUGAUGUGAAAGGCCGGGGCUCAACCCCGGGACUGCAUUGGAAACUGUAGGACUAGAGUGUCGGAGGGGUAAGUGGAAUUCCUAGUGUAGCGGUGAAAUGCGUAGAUAUUAGGAGGAACACCAGUGGCGAAGGCGGCUUACUGGACGACUACUGACGCUGAGGCUCGAAAGCGUGGGGAGCAAACA
rnacentral:rRNA from 2 species